rfam:Candidatus Symbiobacter mobilis CR, complete genome.
UGCUUUGCGAGAAGUAGUCUGGAGGAAGCCCGAGUGCAAAUGUGCGAGACGACGAACAGAAACCGCAUAGAAGGCCCAGAGUGCCGAGGCGAGCUGCCCGCUGCGUGCCGAAGAAACUGGUGGAAUCGUCAUCCCGGAACACAGCGUGACUUGC